CGGGAGACUCUGAAGCUGCGUCGCCAGGCGUGGUGGAGUCGUUGGUGAAAUACCGCCCUUUAUUUAUCUGAUGCCUAAUCCAUUUAUGGAGACAGUGUGUGGUGGGUAGUUUGACUGGGGUGGUCGCCUCCAAAAGAGUAACGGAGGCUCCUAAAGGUACCCUCAACACGCUUGGUAACCGUGUGUAGAGUGUAAUGGCAUAAGGGUGCUUGACUGAGAGACCGACAAGUCGACCAGGUAGGAAACUAGAGCAUAGUGAUCCGGUGGUUCCGCAUGGAAGGGCCAUCGCUCAAAGGAUAAAAGGUACUCCGGGGAUAACAGGCUGAUC
rnacentral:rRNA from 1 species